rnacentral:rRNA from 1 species
GACAUUGUCUCUGAUGAUUUUGUUGGCUACAGGGGCGCCGCGAGGAGUGGAGGAUCGAGGUCGUGGAUUGCCAGCUUCAAAUUUUGGUUGAGCACUUCCUCAAGAAUCUUGUUGAGGUGUCUGUUUCCCCUCUUUGUGUCAUGAAUGAUUGUGAUGGCUGCAGGGUCUUCGCAAGGAGUUGAAGGCUGAGGUCAUGGUUGCCAGCUUCAAUUUUUUGCUAAGCAAUUCCUCAAGAGUCUUUCCAAGGUGCUCUCCCCUCACUUUUUCUCUUACUUCCUCCCCUCCCAUCGCUAACGUUUAAACAAUACGUGUGCAAAUCUGAGGAUGAAGGGAAGAAGAAGAAUUUAACUAAACAGUUGAAGAAGAUCAAGGUGAUUUUUCUUCCCUUUGUUCUUUUAUUCUGACGUUAAGAUUUGUUAUGGCUAGAUGAGAUUUGUGGUGAAAAUUUCCCAUUCUUUUAUUUACCUACAUAUCUUGAAUGCACAAUUGAUGAUUUUGCUGGAUAGGUUACACAUCUAAAUAAUAAACAUUUUUAAAAUCUACAUUUUAUUCAUGUGAAAAUUUAGGGUGGAUUUGUGUUUUUCAGAAAUGAGGCAACCUUACAUGUUGAUAGUAAGUUGACUACCAGUUUAAAAGCUUAUGUUUGCAAAGUGUUUCCUGGGAUACCCCCCUCUCUCUUGAUUGAUAUAUGCAUAUACCAUAGGGGAAUGAUAGUUACUUUUAACAGGGAUUGGUGGUUCAUCACAAUUUUUCUAGCUUCUUUUGUCCUCCAAAUGAUAUAGAAGGCAGUCAAGUGCAUCCUCUAAUUUCUCGUGAUUUUUGUAGGACCUACUAUGAUGCAUAUUUGAAAGAGUGCAUCUAUUGUUUCAGCUGAAAAUUGAUCUCUAUUUGAAGGAGUGCAUCUAUUGUGCAUCUACGCCAGAAGACAAUGUGUUGUUUUUUAUUCCAUGCUCCAAAUAUUUCAUGUCCAAUUCAUAGACAUCCUUGAAUUUCUUAACGAUGAUGGCAUGUUUGGUGUUCAUAUUUUUGUCAGCCAAAUAAUAAUAGGUGCACUUGACUGUUUGAGGAAAUGCCAAUUGAAAUGCCAAUUGUGGUCAGCAUGUUGUAAGUACUUUGGGAAACAAGUUCUAGGGUAAGUUUAUCUGCUUGCUCAUGCAUUUUAAUACUUGAUUGAUGUCCUGAUAAUUUGUGAAGUUCUGUGUAACAUGUGAUAAGCUGCACAUCAGGUUGCAUGACAGCUUGUUUGUUGCUUUUAGGAUGUACAUGUACCCAGGUGGAUCAAAUACAGAUACCAAUCAUAUAUUACUAUUUUUACUCCUAUGUUUUUCUUGUGCCUGCCAAACAUUUCGAAAAUUGAUUAUAUCAUUUAGAUGUAUUCAGGCUGGGUUUCUGUGAUCCAAAAAAAUCAUCUGGCAUGGCUUUCUUUUUACAUACAAAACUAAGUGUGGAGUAGUGUAUAUGUUCAUUGCUUUCUUAUCACAUCGCAUUUGUUGGAGGUGCUAUACUGAUUUGAAGGAAAUGCUUUUAUAUUUCCAAGUUGAUCAACUACACAACUUCUGAGCCUAAAGCCUUUCUUUAAAAGGGGCUAGUCAAUGCAGCUCCAUGUUGUGUAUCUUGCUAUUGGGCUCUUUUUUCAGUAAUUAAAGUGGUUAAAUAUCUCUGAUGUUAAAUUCUUGGUUGAUUGCUUAUAUCCAAAAUAACUAUGUUAGUACACUGAAGCCAAUUUCUACAUUGUUAGUGAAGUUGGCUAAAUAGUUUUUGCGCCACUGAGAUAUAUAUGUGCAUUGCAUUCUAACCCUGUAAAUUGUUGUGCCAUUAGUUUAAUCCAGAAUAUAAUUAUGUUAGUACACUCUGCAAUAUAAUUAUGUUAUAUUCUGCUUUUGUCAGUUUGCUGGUCCAUAUUAAUUUCCUCGAGCUUAUGUUCACAUCUCGUCAUAUUUACACCUCUCCGUCGACUGCCACCUAUCAUGGAGGGAGAUGGCUUGGCCAGGCCGUCAACACCCAUCGGCAACUUCCGGCAGGCGCCGUCCCAUUCUUCUUCCCCUUGCUCUGACGCCUUCAUGGCCAAAAUCAUUAGCAGGAGCAAGAAGGUUAAGCACCAAUUAUGGUUAAAGCUUUGUCUCUUUUGUGUACUCAUGAUUGAUCUAAAUUUGCUGGUCGGCUUACAAAUUCAAGUAAUACGACUAUUGCAAUGCAUCUUACUACGUGUGUAUUUAUUUGCAUUGAUAUUUUCUCCUCCUUAGGCUCCAAAUCGUUUGUGGGUCAUAAAUUAUUGUGCAUUAUUGAUGAUUAAUUUGCAAUUUAAAUGACAACAGGGCUGGGUUUUAUAAGUGCAAUGGCUUGAAAUGUGACCUUCCAAUCAAGAAAUUUCCUCAGUGAGAAGCUUAUGUGAAGAAUGAUGUAAUUAAGUUAGCAAUUUACAGUUCUCUUUGAUAAUUGUAACUGAAUUUUCAAUGGCCAGUUCUCUCGAAUAAUGAGUUACUC